rnacentral:rRNA from 1 species
GAUGAACGCUGGCGGCGUGCCUAAUACAUGCAAGUCGAGCGAACGGACGAGAAGCUUUCUUCUCUGAUGUUAGCGGCGGACGGGUGAGUAACACGUGGAUAACCUACCUAUAAGACUGGGAUAACUUCGGGAAACCGGAGCUAAUACCGGAUAAUAUUUUGAACCGCAUGGUUCAAAAGUAAAAGACGGUCUUGCUGUCACUUAUAGAUGGAUCCGCGCUGCAUUAGCUAGUUGGUAAGGUAACGGCUUACCAAGGCAACGAUGCAUAGCCGACCUGAGAGGAUGAUCGGCCACACUGGAACUGAGACACGGUCCAGACUCCUACGGGAGGCAGCAGUAGGGAAUCUUCCGCAAUGGGCGAAAGCCUGACGGAGCAACGCCGCGUGAGUGAUGAAGGUCUUCGGAUCGUAAAACUCUGUUAUUAGGGAAGAACAUAUGUGUAAGUAACUGUGCACAUCUUGACGGUACCUAAUCAGAAAGCCACGGCUAACUACGUG